rnacentral:lncRNA from 1 species
CAGAGUCUUGCUAAGUUGCUUAGGGCUCACUGAGUUGCUGAGGACUGGCCUUGAACUUGUGAUACUCCUGCCUCAGCUUUCUAGAUGGUUGGAAUUACAGGCCUGUGCCACUGCCUCUAGCUCUGGUAUCUGAAAUUUGUGUCAGGAUUUUGUUAUGUAAGUUGACAGAAUCAUAGUUUGCAGUUCACAUUCCCUCCCCUCCCCACAGGUUGAGUUGAUAUCAUGUGGUUCAAAGGUUGGUCUUUGUGGCAGUUUCCAUCCGAAGUCAUCUUGUUAGCAGUAAACUAUCCAGAGACCCACCUUGAGUCACUUUAUUAACGUAAGCUGUCCAGUGUGAGAGGUCCACCAUGAAUAGCAAACACACUCCUGUCUCAAGGAAAAUUCUUCCCAGGAACCAGGACAUAAACCAGCCAAAUUCUUCAUUAUACAAUACUAUAACAAAUAUAUACUAUUAUUUAUCCAGGAUUCAUGAGUAUUUAUUUUUUAGAGAAAUAACAAAUUAGGGAUAAAAUUUAGGUCCUAGCUGGGCACAGUGGUGCACACCCAGGUACUCUAGAGGCUGUGGAAGGAGGAUUGCAGAUUUUGAAGCCAACCUGGGCAACUUAACCAGACCUUCUCAAAAAUAAUAUAGAAAGGGCUAGGGAUGUCACUCAAUACUGCUGGGGAUGUCCCCUAAUUGGUAGA